rnacentral:rRNA from 1 species
UGCGUAGGCGGUCUUUCAAGCCAGAAGUGAAAGGCUACAGCUCAACCGUAGUAAACUUUUGGAACUGUAGGACUUGAGUGCAGGAGAGGAGAGUAGAAUUCCUAGUGUAGCGGUGAAAUGCGUAGAUAUUAGUAGGAAUACCAGUAGCGAAGGCGGCUCUCUGGACUGUAACUGACGCUGAGGCACGAAAGCGUGGGGAGCGAACA